rnacentral:rRNA from 1 species
AUUGAACGCUGGCGGCAUGCCUUACACAUGCAAGUCGAACGGUAACGGGCCUUCGGGUGCCGACGAGUGGCGAACGGGUGAGCAAUGUAUCGGAACGUACCUUUCAGUGGGGGAUAACGUAGCGAAAGUUACGCUAAUACCGCAUAUUCUGUGAGCAGGAAAGCAGGGGAUCGCAAGACCUUGCGCUGAUUGAGCGGCCGAUAUCAGAUUAGCUAGUUGGUGAGGUAAAGGCUCACCAAGGCGACGAUCUGUAGCGGGUCUGAGAGGAUGAUCCGCCACACUGGACCUGAGACACGGUCCAGACUCCUACGGGAGGCAGCAGUGGGGAAUUUUGGACAAUGGGGGCAACCCUGAUCCAGCCAUGCCGCGUGAGUGAAGAAGGCCUUCGGGUUGUAAAGCUCUUUCGGCCGGGAAGAAAUCGUAUCAGCUAAUACCUGGUGCGGAUGACGGUACCGGCAUAAGAAGCACCGGCUAACUACGUGCCAGCCGCCGCCGUAAGAC